GCCUGGUGGUUACCCAAAGGCAGCUGUGCAGUGCUGGUCCUUGGGUUUAGAUGGUUGCAGGCAAACACAAAUCUCUGCGAUUUUAAGCAUGGGGGUUACAUUACCAGGUAGCUUCAAUAGCCCGGUUGCAAAGACAUUG